GACGAACGCUGGCGGCGUGCUUAACACAUGCAAGUCGAACGGAAAGGCCCUGCUUUUGUGGGGUGCUCGAGUGGCGAACGGGUGAGUAACACGUGAGUAACCUGCCCUUGACUUUGGGAUAACUUCAGGAAACUGGGGCUAAUACCGGAUAGGAGCUCCUGCUGCAUGGUGGGGGUUGGAAAGUUUCGGCGGUUGGGGAUGGACUCGCGGCUUAUCAGCUUGUUGGUGGGGUAGUGGCUUACCAAGGCUUUGACGGGUAGCCGGCCUGAGAGGGUGACCGGCCACAUUGGGACUGAGAUACGGCCCAGACUCCUACGGGAGGCAGCAGUGGAGAAUAUUGCACAAUGGGAGGAAGCCUGAUGCAGCAACGCCGCGUGCGGGAUGACGGCCUUCGGGUUGUAAACCGCUUUCGCCUGUGACGAAGCGUGAGUGACGGUAAUGGGUAAAGAGACACCGGCUAACUACGU
rnacentral:rRNA from 1 species